rnacentral:rRNA from 1 species
CCUACGGGUGGCUGCAGUGGGGAAUUUUCCGCAAUGGGCGAAAGCCUGACGGAGCAAUACCGCGUGAGGGAGGAAGGCUCUUGGGUUGUAAACCUCUUUUCUCAGGGAAGAACAAAAUGACGGUACCUGAGGAAUCAGCAUCGGCUAACUCCGUGCCAGCAGCCGCGGUAAUACGGAGGAUGCAAGCGUUAUCCGGAAUGAUUGGGCGUAAAGCGUCCGUAGGUGGCGGUUCAAGUCUGCUGUCAAAGGUCGGGGCUCAACUCCGAACAGGCAGU